CCCUUAGNGGAAAUGCGGAUAGGAUCAUUAC
rnacentral:rRNA from 1 species